UUUUUUUUUAGUUUUAAUUUUUUUAUUAAAUUAUAUUUUAUUAUUAUUAUAAUACGUAAACAAUAAAUACUAUAUUAUUAAUAAUGAUUGUUCUUAAAUUAAAUUAUAUACAUAAAAAUAAUAUGCAAUAUAAUAAAUAAUUAAAAUUUUAUUUCAAUUAAAUUUAACUAAAUGAAGUUAAUAAUUAUUAAUGGAUAAUUUAAAUUUGAGCUUUUAUAAAAUAAUUUAUAUAUUAUCAGAUUAAAAUUUAUUAUUAUUAAUAUUUGAUAAUGAGACAGAGAGAAUGGAAUUGUUGCUCUUUGAUGGAAUUUGAAAAUGCACUUUUGUAUUCAUUUCUUUGUAUUUGCAGACCAAACAUAUAUAAUUAGGGUCUGCAUGGGGUUGGUUAGUUUUUAAAAUUGAAAUUGAAUAAAAAAAAUUAAAAUUUUAAAUUAUUAAUAUUAUUAUAAAAAUUGAAUCAAAUUGAAUUUAUAAAGUAAUCGAAUUAAUAUUUUGAUUUGAUAAUUUGGUUUGUUGAACAAUGUCCAUUACUUCCACAAUUGACAAAAACAUAUUUCCACAAAAAGCAAUAUUCCCAGAUGACUUUGAAUCAUCACAAAACAGAAGAAAUUAAUGUCAAAUAAAAUGCAAUUCCAGUCUUACCACAUAAGAACACAGACAAAUUUUGUAAAGUGUAUUCAGAAUCACUUUUGUUUUUGAUUUUUCAUCCUAAAAAAUAAAAUUUUUUUUUGAUUGAGCUUUUUAUUUUAUAUUUUCUUUUUUUUUUCUUGUGUGUUUUUAAAACUUGGCAAUCAAAAUGGGAAACAACCACAUUUGGUUUUCUAUUUCAGUUUCUUUUAUUCCCUGACCUCACUCCUCCACUAUUAUAGGACAAUUAUUUUUUCAAAUAAGUUAAACUUUUCUAAAUUUGCUCAUUUUACUUAAUAAUUAUAAUAGUAAAUAUUAUGUAAAUUUAUUAAAGUAAUGGUUUAUAAUGAACCUUUUUUAUACAUUAUUUUUUUCAUUAAUCUUUAUUUUUAAUAAUAUUUUUAAAAAUAUAUAAAAAAAAAAGAGUCUCAAGUUGCUUAGAAUAGUUAAUAACACAAGAAAUUUGAUAAUUUGGUAUGAUUUUAUCAAAUACGGCAAUUUAAGACUAAAUUGAAAUAUUGAAUUCAGAGCAUAAUUGGGUUUGACUUGUAUUUUCAUUAUGCAUAAAGUGGAGGCUUCAACUCCUAGCGAUUAGCAUACAUCAAACAUAUCGUAACACAGUAGAAGUAGAAUCUUAUUUACCAAUUUUGGGUUGUAUGUUGAAUUUCAGGAUACACUGAACAGAUAAAGGAU
rnacentral:misc_RNA from 1 species